UACGAAGGGAGCUAGCGUUGCUCGGAAUCACUGGGCGUAAAGGGUGCGUAGGCGGGUCUUUUAAGUCAGGGGUGAAAUCCUGGAGCUCAACUCCAGAACUGCCUUUGAUACUGAGGAUCUCGAGUCCGGAAGAGGUGAGUGGAAUUCCUAGUGUAGAGGUGAAAUUCGUAGAUAUUAGGAAGAACACCAGUGGCGAAGGCGGCUCACUGGCCCGGUACUGACGCUGAGGUGCGAAAGCGUGGGGAGCAAACAG
rnacentral:rRNA from 1 species